ensembl:lncRNA
CCUCUCUUGCAAUCUCGUAGUAGCCCACAGUACACAUUCUUGCUAUCCUUGGAUCAAGGAAACCUAUUUGGGUCUCUGCUCGUCAAUCUCGUAUCUCUGCAGUAGCAUUUCUUGAUGAUAUGAGAGCUAAUAUAGGCGAAUCCCUGCACCAUAGGCGUCACAUCUUCUUGCCAAAGCUGGAUCUCUAUGUAUUUUUGUGAUCGUUGAACAAAACCCAAGAAACCGGGGGCUGCGUGGAAUAACAACGAACAUGACUGCGAUGGGGAAAUUUAAGCAUACCCUGCUUAUUUUUGCAUGUCUGAUUACCGCAGCUAACGUUGCAAGUUUUGGCACAUUCAUUCCGGCAACAUAGCACCCUCCAUUCCACUGCCGGUUUGCGUCUGAAGCUAAGCACGGUCUAUCCUGGUUGGUCCCUGGAUGGGACACCAGACGUAGCUGGAAGUGGUGAAAUUAAAAGUGUGGAGAAAACAAAUUCACAUGGGGAUUUUUUUUUCACUGGUGAAAAAUGUACAUGUGAAACUUCACACAUGUUUGAAAACCACAUCUGACCUGUGAUUUAUUUUUACAUGUGACAUUUUUCACAUGUGAUUUGUUCACACGUGUGUGUUUAAAAAUGUUUUUUUUGUAAUGGUGGUGGGCAUAAAGAACAUUUAUGAAAUUGGUUUUUCUUACUACUAUGCUCUGUGGAUGGC